rnacentral:rRNA from 1 species
CCUACGGGAGGCAGCAGUGGGGAAUCUUGCGCAAUGGACGAAAGUCUGACGCAGCCAUGCCGCGUGAGUGAUGAAGGUCUUAGGAUUGUAAAGCUCUUUCGCUCGCGACGAUGAUGACGGUAGCGAGAGAAGAAGCCCCGGCUAACUUCGUGCCAGCAGCCGCGGUGAUACGAAGGGGGCUAGCGUUGUUCGGAAUUACUGGGCGUAAAGCGUGCGCAGGCGGUUUUUUAAGCCAGAGGUGAAAUCCCGGAGCUCAACUUCGGAAUGGCCUUUGGAACUGGAAAGCUUGAGAACGGUAGAGGUGAGUGGAAUUCCCAGUGUAGAGGUGAAAUUCGUAGAUAUUGGGAAGAACACCGGUGGCGAAGGCGGCUCACUGGACCGUUUCUGACGCUCAGGCACGAAAGCGUGGGGAGCAAACAGGAUUAGAUACCCUGGUAGUCCACGCCUUAAACGAUGAUGCUAGCGUUGUGAGCGAUGCUCUCAGUGGCGCAGACUACGUCGUGAGCACUCCCGCCGUCGGGGAGGUACCGGCCGGACCGAACGGUUAAAACCGUUAAAACGUUAGUAAGUUAGUACGGACGUGAGACGUAGCCGACGGACGACCGACGAGGGAGGAGG